rnacentral:tRNA from 1 species
GGGCUUUUAGCUCAGUUGGUUAGAGCGACUGGUUUACACCCAGUAGGUCGGGGGUUCGAGUCCCUCAGAGCCCACUA